rnacentral:piRNA from 1 species
UAAAUUCUUGAAACUGGUUUU